rnacentral:rRNA from 1 species
GACGAACGCUGGCGGCGUGCUUAACACAUGCAAGUCGAACGAAGAGCGAUGGAAGCUUGCUUCUAUCAAUCUUAGUGGCGAACGGGUGAGUAACGCGUAAUCAACCUGCCCUUCAGAGGGGGACAACAGUUGGAAACGACUGCUAAUACCGCAUACGAUCUAAUCUCGGCAUCGAGGAUAGAUGAAAGGUGGCCUCUACAUGUAAGCUAUCACUGAAGGAGGGGAUUGCGUCUGAUUAGCUAGUUGGAGGGGUAACGGCCCACCAAGGCGAUGAUCAGUAGCCGGUCUGAGAGGAUGAACGGCCACAUUGGGACUGAGACACGGCCCAGACUCCUACGGGAGGCAGCAGUGGGGAAUCUUCCGCAAUGGACGAAAGUCUGACGGAGCAACGCCGCGUGAGUGAUGACGGCCUUCGGGUUGUAAAGCUCUGUUAAUCGGGACGAAAGGCCUUCUUGCGAAUAGUGAGAAGGAUGACG